CAAUUUAAAACACCCAAAUAACAUCAUACAUCUCCUCUCCCUCUCGAAACUUUCUGUACACCAACAAAUAAAAAAAAAAUAAUAAGUAAAUAAAAUAUAUAGCACCUUCAAAUACUCAUACAUCUGAUAUACAAACACACACACAUACGAUACUCUCUCUCGGUCUCCCACUUCCGGCGACACUUCACCGGCGGAGCCGGCCGGUGCACGGCGGAGCCAUGGCGGCGGAGCUCCGGCGAUCCCCCAUUUUGGCGCGUGGCGGCGCGUGUACCCCUUUCUCAUCUCCGAUCUACCAUGCGGUCACGUUUCGGUGUCGAUUUACUGGUUUUAGCACCGGAGGUGGUGUCGGUGUUAGAACCACCGUGUACAGGCGGCGGUGGUGGUCCCUCCGACGAACGGGAACCCCCCUUUCUUUUGCGAUCUAGAAAACAAUCACCACCACCACCACAGUCCGGUGGUGGUGCGGCGACGGUGUCGAGCAGGGGAGACGGGAGAGAGUGAGCGGAGAGGAGAGAGAUAGAAUCGAUGAUGGUGAACGGCGGACACGUCUCGAACCGGUGGUUCGUGUCUCAGCCCGGCGGUAGGUGUCUCGACCCGGUGGUUUGUGAUUUUAUCCGACAAGUUCUCCGGUAAGCUCUCCCUGUUUCUUUCAUUCGGUUUCAUUUAUGGAGAUUUGAUGAAGAUGAUGAUGCUUGAUGAUGAUGAUGAACAAUGGAUUUGGUUAUGUUAGCUCGUUUAUGUUAGGAUCGGUUCAGAUCGGGUGAAGGCUCAGGUCACGUCCCGUGGUUCAAGCCCAGACAACAGUGGUUAAUCAACAAGCUUCGUUCGGGUCAACAAUAGUCAACAGUUUGGUUCGCUUCGGUCAGAUUCAGUUUCGGUUGACUCGGUCAAGCGGGUCAACUCAGCGAGUCGACUCGGUCAAACCGAGUCAACUCAGUCAAACCCGGUCAACAACAGUAAACGUCGGUCAACUCAGUCCAUGUUCGACGACUCGGCAAGAGUUGUGGAAUAUUGUAGAACGCACGCUAGCAAGUCUCGUCUUGGAAACGACAUCGCGAAGUCGUAAUUAGCUAGCUUUGCACAGGAAUAUUCAGGCGAGUUCAUAACCCCCACUUUUUACUAUUGUUUUACAUUCUUUUUGUAAAUGUUUUCGGGGUGGAAAGACAUGCACAAUUUUCAGAAACAUACAAAGUUUUGAACAAACGCAAAACUCGUAUUUCUAAAUCAUAUCACGAAUGGAUUUCGAGGAACUCAAACGAUUCACGAAAGGUUUAUACUAAACAUACCGGUUUUUACAAAACAAAUGCUUAUUUUCGAAAUAUGAAUGAUUUUUCAUAACUAAGGAGUCAGUCAGGGUGGCUGGGAAGGUUCAGUCAGGGUGGCUGGGAAAGUUCAGUCAGGGUGGCUGGGAAAGUUCAGUCAGGGUGGCUGGGGAGGCUCAGCCAGGGUGGCUGAGGUGGAAUAUAUGUUACAGUAAUUACGAAAAAUUUUUACAUGGUAUGGUUAACGUAAGGAGGUGUUAUACGAUCAUGUGAGUUGAUAGGAACAACAUGGGGCCAUUAGUCCUCAUGGAGGGACCGAGGGACAGGAGCGGUAGAUCUAUCUGGGUGUAGCGAGCCCAGCCCCCGGCCAAACUAGAAACAGACCGUGGGGUGACUUUGUCCACAUACUUUGCCGUGGCGAAAUCUGCUAGGUUUGAGUCUCCCUAUUUGCACUUCACAUAUGUCAGUGGCCUUGCAAACCAUUGGUGAUCACAAGUCCUCUUACACUGCUACAUAACAGGGAUUUUAUACUUACGGAAACUUCUUGUUCAUACAAAUUAACUACCAUGUUUUAUACAAAUACAAAGAAUUAUGGGGGUAUGGAGUCAAAGUCAGGGUGGGCAUUGACGGUUAUGCGAACAUUACAAAGACAAGGCUUUACAAAUACAUGGUUUUAUGAACAUAACGUGUUACAAACACAACGUUUCCAUAUAACUUGGCAAGAAAAUGAUUUUUAAAUUCAUUCUCUCAAUACUAUUUCAAAAACCGGUUACCAAAGAUUUAUUUCAAACCUUUCACAACUCAAAAGAUUUAUUUCAGAUCUUUUACAAACAAACUAUGAACUCGCUCAACUUUAUGUUGACUUUUUCGCAUGUUCUUUCUCAGGUUGCAUUUCUAAAACAAGGCACGGUUGGAAUAGGAGGACCAUGAAGAGUCGAGUACUUAGUGGCGUUCAUUUUCUAAAAGACUUAGCUUAUUUGCUUCCGCUGUGCAAUGAAGAUACCAGUCCAGUCACGCCAAUGCUCUGAUAAUUUCGGGGUGUGACAUUAUUUGACCCGUCCAACUUUGAAAUGGUUGAACGUAAUUACCAAAAUUUAUGUUGCGAAAAUUCUUGUCAUCUUUUAGUCAUGACUCAUAUUCCGAGCCUUUUGACUUUCUAUUUCACGUUCCCGUCUCUCGGUUUACGCAUUCACCCACAAUCCUACCCGUCCAUCGGGUAUCUUUACCGUAAUCAUUAUCAAGUAACCAUUCUUAUAUGGUUUUAAACAUCAUUUUAAUUUAUUUGGUCGUCUUAGCGAAAUCCAUCGCUUUUAUUCAAUUAAGUCCUUUAUUCAUUAUUUAAUUCGUUUGACUUGUCCACGUGAAUUUCAUCACUUAUGUCAGUCAAACCUUUAUCCCCAUGCCUUAGCAUUCUCAUUAGUUGGUUUGUAUUUUCAUUUACUUCGAUCUUUGUCCCUUCUCUCGGGCUCGUCAUUUUAACGUAAUACGCUUCCGUCAUCCGACUUGCGUUUACGUUUACUAUCAAACAUCUUAUUUAUUUGAUUCAUUUGGGUACCAUUUAAGUUAGUCCCAUUCACCCCGCCCUUACUACAUCGGACGUAAAUGUGUCCGCUACAAAAAGCUCAUGGUAUCAUAUGCCACUACUUACUUGGCCAGAGUAAGCGAUCAGCACAUGAUACACAUGACCCUUUUAUAGCUUUCACAUCACACCCUAUGUAAGUAAUGCCUCUAUUUAUUUCAUAUCUCUGAUUUCAUUUAGUAAAACUUUAUUUAAUUGCAAAACAACAAUCAUUAGUUUUACUAGUUUUACAUUUGAACAUAUAAAAUGUUUUUCUUUUCUAUCGAACUAUUAUAUAAUCACAUUUGUUAAUGUGAUCGCUACUUUUCUCAAUAGCAUUAUAUUGAGAGUUUUCCACUUGGAUAAUUACCCCCCGUCCAAGUUUCCAUAUGAACUAAUCCUAUUAUUUCUUUGUUAUUCAUCAUCCUGAAUAACACAUAUUUCUAUUAAACUUUUCUUAGAAACAUCAUCCUGAAUAGAUAUCCUAUUCAAGUUUUAUCAGAUAUAUGCAACUGUUAUCCCCUACGUGUUUGUUGCAUGUUACUACUUAUGCGAUUAAAUUCAAAAGUGUGCACCUGGUAAUGCUUGCCCAAACGGGCGUCUCUUGCCGUGAACUUUGUUCGCGAUCGUCACGCGAUUUAGGUCCUCAAUGAGUGUGCUCAGCUUGUCAUACCUCGGACCGUUCCACCGUCAUAUCCACAAUUUAUUCAACUCUCGUCAUCUUCAGAUGCGAGUGUCCUUCAACUAAACAUUUACAAAAUUUAGUAAUUUCGACAUUAAUGGAUGCCCGUAGUAUAAUACAAGGCUUUUCUACUAUACGCAUCAACGUGUGUAAUUUCGUUGACUAUAUCUACUCUAUAUCGUUUUUAUUGGUGUAACGUGUAUUACACGAUAACCAUAUGUGUUGUUUACAACACUUUAGCAUGCUAAAUCAUUAACAUACAUGUAUUUACCGGAUUUGCGAUCAAGCCUCGAACCGAACACACUUUACUUUUUAACCGUGAGCUCUGAUACCAACUUGUAACACCCUUAAAAUUAAUUUACAAUUUUCGUUCAUUUUACGAAAAUACACAUGUAAUUAUAGUUUCAUAUACAUUGUAAAUACAGGUUAAUUAAAACUUUUACAAUUUAAAAGAAUAUAUAACUUAAUGUAAUUGAAUUCGUCGUUUAAAAGUUACGACGAAACGUUGUGCGGAAGCUUGUAUCUUGGUCGUGUUCGGUUCUUCGUUGAGCUUGAUCUUCAUCCGAGAACCCUUGACAUUUACCUAUGAUCAAAACCAACUCAAAAGUUAGUUUUGAUAACUUAAAAACAAGUUUAAAUGAGUCCGGAGUUCAAAAUAUACAAAAUUCAACAAUUUUCGAAAUUUAGGGGGGCGUCGCGCUACACCUAACCCCCUUUUAGGGCGCCGCCGUACGCUAAGGGGUGUCGCGCUACACCUAGCCCCCUUUUAGGGCAUCGUCGUACGCUAAGGGGUGUCGCGCUACACCUAGCCCCAUUUUUGACAGAAUGUUGCUUGUCUGCAGCUGCAGUCGCCCAGCUAUAGUUUUUAAUCGAAACACAAACUUCAAAGUGCCAUUACUUUUUAUCUACUUAUCCGUUUUACGCGAUUCUUCUUCCUACGCGUUCGUAAUUUAAUUCCAUCCUAUGGAGUAAAAACCCGACAUCUGAAUUCGCAAAAUAUUAGAUUUCAAGCUCUCGGCUUGAAAUUUAAUUUUGACACUUUUUGACCCGUUUGUGAUAUGAUCAAACAAACUUGUUGGUUAACUUUAAAAUGUCAUGCAAACCACAUUAUAUCAGUUUACUAAUAUCCAAGGUUCUAAUUACGGGUGCUUAGGCAAAUCUUAACCCGUUUUGCAUAUCUACUCUUUUUGACCCGUUAAGGGUAUUUAACAUUUUCAAGCUUAGAUCGUGCUUCUUUUUAGUUUACAUCCUAUCACCAUUUUUAUACGAGUUCCAAGGACUCAAUUUAACAAGACGCUUAUUUCGAAAUAACUCUUUAAAGGUUGUUUACCCUAUUUACCCCUUAAGGGCUUUUUGGUCAAUUUUAGCCCUUCAUUUGCGCGACGAAGGACUUCCGAUGUUAUUUGACCAAAAUAUCACUUUUUGCUAUAAUUCUAAACAUGCGUACCUGACUCGGGUCAUAAGAUUGACCUAUUUAAAUACCUUUCGCUAUUAAUAUCUAGUUAAUAGCAAUGCUAACCAUGUGUUAAUUCCUGUGAUCACAAAACUCAACAAGCAAUCAUCAAAUAUUAUUGACAAAUGGUGUUAACAACACCAUUUGACCCGUUUAGUCGAAAUGACCAAUUGUCAUUAUAAGAUGGCACUUAAUUACCAUUUCACCCCCUUUAACCUAUCCCGGAUUACUUUUUGAAAUCAUCCAACUUGAAAGUCGUUUCCUGUUUUAUUUGACCCAUUAUGACUUAUGCCAAAUGGUGUCGUUUUAAAUCCCUUUAUCUAAUCGUUAACCCAUGUCCGGAUUACCAUUUCACCAUUUUUACCCCUUUCUACCAUAAUUUAUGGUUUCUACCAUUUUCACUUGUUCCGACUAGCAUUAUAUCGCGUCGGAACAUCAUGUUUCAUUUACUUAAUAUAAAUCGUAUUCCAUGCUCACAAAUAAGCAUUUUGUAAUAAAAGUAAAAAGGGCAUAAGCUUAACUUACCUCACAUCCGAACUAUGCUUUUCCUUUCCGUUCUUGCUCCGUUUGACCCGCUUCAUUCACAAGCUUCCACCUAACUUGUUAAGCGCCAAACUAUUAUCAGAUUUCGUAAGAUGGUUAGUUUAGUCAUUGUCGAUCAUGACUAUUCCACCCUACGUAUCUCCUAUCCAAAUUAUCAUUCGAUUACAUUAAUGGCCGGUUUGACUUUUGAAAAGUCAAACGCCUAUUAGUUAUAUAAAAUGCACAUUCAAGUUUGUCAACUAGUUUAGGCAUUUUCUCAAUUAUCCGGUUGGCGUUAUUUCUUUGCCACUGUUUCAACCAAAUUUGUUAUAUUUCUAACACUUUAACUAGUUUAAGCGAUUAUCAUGACUAGUUUAUUCAUUUAUUUUUGCAAGAACUAAGGGUUCUCCUUUAUAAGUGAGACCCGUUUCAUCAUACGACUUAGCAUCCAUUCGAACUCUUAAUAAAAUCAAGUUCUUCAUAUGAUCUAAUACAUAACCCGAUUGCAUUCAUCUAUUUACAUGAACAAACUUACUAAUAUCAUCACAACAUUCAAGACCCACUUCAAGCCUUAUAUGAGCAUUCACUCAAAUUUAUAGAUUGUUCAAGUAUUUUGCUCCAACUAUCAAAUAUGAUGAUUAUAAGCACAUGCAUAUCAUCAUUCUUACUAUUUAGUCAAAAACCCACUUAGCUCAUACUUGAUUAAUUGACAAAUCACUAGUUUAUGACACAAUCAUACAAAUUUGCAUCUAGGGUUUGUUUCUAGACCUAGAUUCAAACCAAUAUUACUCAUGUAUACAACAUUCAUCACAUAAUUUUCGAUUGUGAGUGUUCGUCACAAUUUCGAAAUAUCACUAAACAUCAAAAUUCAACAUACCUUGUGAUCCCCUAAGCUUGGUGGUCACAAUUUUAUUAAAAGCCCCAAAUUUUAGCUUGAUUUCUCCUUUGAUUUGAGCAGUUCUUUGUAGUUUAGGGUUCAUGAGAAGAACCCCUUUUGGCUCCUGUGAAUUAUCGACCAAAAACACACACCCAGUGUGUGUUUUGAGCCCCUUUUUCUUAUUAGUAAAUCAACUUUCUAACUUGACCAUUUUAGUCCCUCUAAUUAUAUAUCUAUAAGAGAUGGUUAACUUGGUCAAGUUUUCUUUAUUAUUUUAAACACUUAACUAACUAGGUUGAUAUUCCUAGUUACCUAGUGGGUCCCAGGAGUUAUAACCCGUUUUAUUUUAAGUCCCGUUAACUCGGGCUUCUUUUAAAUUUACUUUCCUCAAAUCAUUUAUUCUCAUUUUAAUUAAUAUUAGGAUCAUUCGUUUAAGUCCUAUUAUUCACCGAGUUAAUCUUACUACUAACGGUAUUUUACCCGUCAUUAAUAUUAAUGUGGUUUGAUUACCAAACCCGUUUUUGGGGUGUUACAAGGCAUUUGGUAAACAGGAUAUGGAACGUGAGGAAACUUAUGUUGUCUUUGAGGAUCGAGCCAUUGAGGAAAUGUUGCCUUAUUUACAGGAAGAAAAGACACCUGGAGAACUUUACAAAGAUCCAGAAAAGACUAUAACCCUGAAGUGUUGAAAGAUGCAUGGGAUUGCAGCUUUCCACCCGAAGAGGAUGACUGAUAUUUCAAUCCAUAUGAAAGGGAGCAUGAUUCAGAUUCGGAUUGGUCAUGUGUUGAUGAUUGUCACUGGAAAUAGUAGUGUUUGUAAUGACUAUGUGUAAUGUUUGACUUUUCUUCGUUGUAUUGUGUUUCAUCAACUAUGUAUGGAAUGGCACUUUUAAUUAAGACGUGUUAUAUGUUUAGUUCAA